GACGAACGCUGGCGGCGUGCUUAACACAUGCAAGUCGAACGGAAAGGCCUGCUUUCCCUUGUGGAUUGCGGGUACUCGGGUGGCGAACGGGUGAGUAACACGCGAGUGAUCUGCCCCCAACUUGGGUAUAAGCCUGGGAAACUGGGUCUAAUUCCCGAUAGGACUGCAGGGUGGUGCCUGUGGUGGAAAACGAUUUUCUAGUGGUUGGGGAUGAGCUCGCGGCCUAUCAGCUUGUUGGUGGGGUAAUGGCCUACCAAGGCGGCGACGGGUAGCCGGCCUGAGAGGGUGGACGGCCACAUUGGGACUGAGAUACGGCCCAGACUCCUACGGGAGGCAGCAGUGGGGAAUAUUGCACAAUGGGCGGAAGCCUGAUGCAGCGACGCCGCGUGGGGGAUGACGGCCUUCGGGUUGUAAACUCCUUUCGACCGCGAGGAAGCCACCUGGUUGGAAGGGUGGUGACGGUAGUGGUAGAAGAAGCACCGGCUAACUACGUG
rnacentral:rRNA from 1 species